UUUUCCUACGGGGGGCAGCAGUGGGGGAUAUUGGACAAUGGGGGGAACCCUGAUGCAGCGACGCCGCGUGGGUGAAGGAGUACUUCGGUACGUAAAGCCCUAUCAGCAGGAAAGAAAAUGACGGUACCUGACUAAGAAGCCCCGGCUAACUACGUGCCAGCAGCCGCGGUAAUACGUAGGGGGCAAGCGUUAUCCGGAUUUACUGGGUGUAAAGGGAGCGUAGACGGCAGAGCAAGUCUGAAGUGAAAGCCCGCGGCCCAACUGCGGGACUGCUUUGGAAACUGCCCGGCUAGAGUGCUGGAGAG
rnacentral:rRNA from 1 species